rnacentral:rRNA from 1 species
AGUGAACGCUGGCGGUAGGCCUAACACAUGCAAGUCGAACGAGUGGCGGACGGGUGAGGAAUACAUCGGAAUCUGCCCUGUCGAGGGGGAUAACGUAGGGAAACUUAAGCUAAUACCGCAUACGAUUGAAUGAGCCGAUGUCGGAUUAGCUAGUGGGGGGGGUAAAGGCCCACCAAGGCGACGAUCCGUAGCUGGUCUGAGAGGAUGAUCAGCCACACUGGAACUGAGACACGGUCCAGACUCCUACGGGAGGCAGCAGUGGGGAAUAUUGCACAAUGGGCGCAAGCCUGAUCCAGCCAUGCCGCGUGUGUGAAGAAGGCCUUCGGGUUGUAAAGCCCUUUUGUUGAGGAAGCGGUACCCAAAGAAUAAGCACCGGCUAACUUCGUGCCAGCAGCCGCGGUAAUAC